UACGGGGGGGGCAAGCGUUGUUCGGAAUUACUGGGCGUAAAGGGCUCGUAGGUGGCCAACUAAGUCAGACGUGAAAUCCCUCGGCUUAACCGGGGAACUGCGUCUGAUACUGGAUGGCUUGAGUUUGGGAGAGGGACGCGGAAUUCCAGGUGGUAGCGGUGAAAUGCGUAGAUAUCUGGAGGAACACCGGUGGCGAAGGCGGCGUCCUGGACCAACACUGACACUGAGGAGCGAAAGCCAGGGGAGCAAACGGG
rnacentral:rRNA from 1 species